rnacentral:misc_RNA from 1 species
GUGCGCUGAUAUUCUUGCUCUUGCUGCUCGUGACUCAGUAGUUCUGACGGGUGGAUUAGGUUGGGAAGUUCCGACGGGACGAAGAGAUGGUAGAGUUUCAUUGGUUUCAGAGGUGAAGUUGCCUGGUUUUUCAGAUUCCAUUGAAGUUCAGAAGGAGAAGUUUAGGUCUAUGGGUCUCAACACACAUGACCUUGUCACUCUCGCAGGUGCCCAUACCAUCGGUACGGCGUCAUGUCGUUUUUUCAGUUACAGACUCUACAACUUCACCACGGUGACUGAAAGCGGCGCUGAU